CGGCUACCACAUCUAAGGAAGGCAGCAGGCGCGCAAAUUACCCAAUUCUAACAGCAUAAGAGAGGUAGUGACAAGAAAUAACAAUACAAGGUAAUUAAAUUGCUUUGUAAUUGGAAUGAUAGAAAUUUAAACACUUUUUAAAGUAUCAAUUGGAGGGCAAGUCUGGUGCCAGCAGCCGCGGUAAUUCCAGCUCCAAUAGCGUAUAUUAAAAUUGUUGCAGUUAAAAAGCUCGUAGUUGAAUUUCUGUUAAAAAUAACCGGUCUGCUUUUAUUAAAAGUGGUAUCUUGGUGUGUUUUUAGCAAUAAUGUCCUUUGAAAUGUUUUUUACUUUAUUGUAAUAAGUCAUUAUUUUGAGGAUUUUUACUUUGAGAAAAUUAGAGUGUUUCUAGCA
rnacentral:rRNA from 1 species